AGCAGCCGCGGUAAUUCCAGCUCCAAUAGCGUAUAUUAAAGUUGUUGCAGUUAAAAAGCUCGUAGUUGAAUUUCGGGAUCAAUACGUUGGUCGUGCUUUCGGGUACGUACUGGCGUCAUUGGUUUCUCUCUUCUGACGAACCAUGAUGUCAUUAGUUUGGUGUUAUGGGGAGUUAGGACUGUUACUUUGAAAAAAUUAGAGUGUUUAAAGCAGGCUCGCGCUUGAAUACAUUAGCAUGGAAUAAUGAAAUAGGAUGUUUGACCCUAUUUUGUUGGUUUCUAGGAUCGACGUAAUGAUUAAUAGGGAUAGUUGGGGGCAUUAGUAUUCAAUUGUCAGAGGUGAAAUUCUUGGAUUUAUUGAAGACUAACUACUGCGAAAGCAUUUGCCAAGAAUGUUUUCAUUAAUCAAGAACGAAAGUUAGGGGAUCGAAGACGAUCAGAUACCGUCGUAGUCUUAACCAUAAACUAUGCCGACUAGGGAUCGGAUGAUGUUAUUUUUUAAUGACUCAUUCGGCGCCUUA
rnacentral:rRNA from 1 species